ACUUAGGUACGUUCGUUUUCCCUCAGGUGCAGCGAUGGUGUUGUGGUGUUUUUUACCGUGUGCCGUGCCUUAACAGCCCCUUCCUUCCCUUGCCUAACCACCGCCAGCGACCAGAGGAUGCAGCAAAGAUGAGGGAAGGGAGAAAGAACAGUUAAAUGGAUGUGAAAACUUGGAAAACAGGAAAAUACACCGGCUUUCUUUUUUCUGGUCAUUCUCUCUCUCUCUCUUCUCUCCACUCGACUCCUCAGGUGAGAGGCGGCAGGUGAGCAGCAUCGCUACCUGGUGAGUGUUACCUGUGAUCAGUAAACCGAGUAUGCAAAUUAUACAUUACACAAUUUCCUUACGCAUUCGGCCGUGUCUUUUCGGUUCAUUGAAGAGUAACGGAACUGUGGACCUGUUUUCAUCUCUCAUCACAAAGGAGUCACACAAGGAAAGGAUCUCACACGGCUUGUCAGUAUCUCAGAUCAAGAUACUAAGUCACCACCGGUCUUGUUCGCCGCUCCCAGUUGGCAGAGUGUAUCAGCCAUGGGAAAGCAGACAUCCACUACCUCUCUCAUCUCUUAUCAGUCUAUGUUGGCUAGAAAGUUCCUAAUUCACUGUUGGAAAAGUAGGUCUCGAAUUUAAGCAGGAGACACAGGAGAGAAAUGAAGGAGGAGGACCUAAGAACAUAAUCAAAGAGAUAGGUAACAGGAAAAAGAAAAAAGGAAAAAGUUUAUAUCAUCUUCAGGUCAUCCACUCCAGGUUCUUACUGUAUAACUAUUAAAGAAUAUAUUUUGGUGACCACUUCGAGUCAUCCCAUCACUCACUCUUCUUGGGACGUGACUGGUAAUUCAAGAAGUGAUUGGACAGCUAGUAUGAGGAAACUGACCGGGUAUUAUGGUGCAAGCUGUGACAGAUUUAUCCUCACGUCCUCAAAAGAUACUGGAAUACCUACGUGUGGGUUGAGAGUAAGACACACAAAGCAAUGGGAAGCCCGCACCGUAUUACAAAAUGUUCAAGUGACGAAAUAUGUAGGAAAAAAUAACAGUUAUAAGCUGGAAAAAUGGACUAAUAUAAGAAAAACAUGACAGUAUAAAAGAUAGUAAGUUUUUUGACUCUAGAAAUUUAUUGAACAAAGUAAAAUAACACAGUAAAGAAAAGAUAACGGACUUUGGCGUUGGGACAAAUACCUCGUAUAUAAAAAGAAAAAGUGACAGAUUUCGCCUUUGAAAAAUAAAUAUGAAAAUAACGUAAUUCGGGAAAAAGAUAACAUGCCUCGGUGCUUGAAAAUACUAAAAAUACAUCAAAAUAACAGGUUUUGAUGCGGAAAAGUACCAAAACACAUGAAAAUAGCUUAACGCAGGAAAAACUGACGUGUCUUGACGGCGGAAAACAAGCAAAAUAACACGUUUCGACGCUGGGAAAUAAACGAUUAUAGGAGAGUAGGGCAAUAAGGUAAGGAGUCACCUAUACAAUCAGGUUACAAUACAGUCAAGUCACGUGUAAUCAAGACUUCACGUCCCUUUAAUACAUCUAGACAAUUGCCUUCCCGUCUCCACCACCAGCUGUAACAACACCCCACUCCACUCACUGCACCUACUCCACACACUCCACCUGCUCCACCUUCCCCUAAACUCACUCCCUCACCACACAAGCUCGUAAAGCAUGAUCUUGUCGCCCUGUCACGCCUCCUCCUGCUCUGACCUGACCUGACCUCCCCUGCCCCGCCUUCAGGAAGCAGUGAAGUCACAUCCUCCCGCCCUCCUCCUCCUCCUCCUCCUCCUCCAGACAAACCACCAUGCAGCUGUUUAUGUGCCUUCCCCUCCUCCUCUAUCUCCUUCCUUCCUUUUUUUCUCUAGUUUUUCUUCCUAUUCUUCUUUCUUUCUCUUUUCCUUCCUUCCUGCCUUUCUUUGUAGCUUUUCUUUCUAUCCUUUCUCUCCCCUUCUCUUUCGUCAUUUCUUUUUCUCCUUUCCUUCUCUCUUUCUUUCUCAUUUCUUUCGCCCUUUCUCCAUCCUGCUUUCCU